AGGCUCUGGGAGCUGCAAGGAGAGAGCAAGGUCAGUUGGAUCCGUUGUCAGGAAAGAAUCUGUGUCAGGUAGAGGAGGUGCAGAUAGGGGAGAAAGGAUAAGGGUUUGAGAGGCAUCAACAGAUGCAUAAAAACAAAGAAAAAAUGGUGCAUAAAGUGGGAAUGUGUCAAAGUAUAAAGAAUGCCUGUACAUAGGGAACUUCGGACCAUUUUCUCAACCUCUGGCAGUAGCUGUCUAAGUCUCACAGGAUGCAGAAAUCAAAAGUGCCAUUCUCUGGCCACUGAGAGCCAUUUUCUGGUUUGUAUUAUGGCCAUGCAGUGUUACAGAAGAAAAUCAGAUGUUUAGGCUUCAGAUCAGGGUAUAGAUGGAGAGAUUUCAGAUUCUUUAAGAGUCAGGCUAGAGAAGAAGAAGGAGGAAUAGAAGAAUGAACAUUUCCUAUUGGAGCAGAGAGAGAGGAUUGUCAUGCCCUGUGUGACAAAGACCAGCAACAGGGUCAACAAUGGGAUAUCUCCAGCUGUGACCCAGGCUGUGACUGAACAUGGGUCCCGCCCCAUGCACUCCCCAGGCCUAGGACCCGCACGAAGGAGACACCUGCGUUUCAGGGAUCUCCCGAAGCUGACGGAGG
rnacentral:lncRNA from 1 species